GGGGUAGAGGCCCGCCGCGGUAACGACGGGUAACGGGGAAUCAGGGUUCGAUUCCGGAGAGGGAGCCCGAGAAACGGCUACCACUUCCAAGGAAGGCAGCAGGCGCGCAACUUACCCUAAUCUCGAUUCGAGGAGGUAGUGACAAGAAAUACCGAUGCGGGACCCUACGGGUGCCGCGUUCGGAAUGAGUACGAUUCGAACCACCUAACGAGGAACGAUCGGAGGGCAAGUCUGGUGCCAGCAGCCGCGGUAAUUCCAGCUCCAAUAGCGUACGUUAAAGUUGCUGCAGUUAAAAAGCUCGUAGUUGAACGUUCGGGUUCCGCGGGACGGGGCCGCCCCGCCGAGGGACGGCGCCGCCCCGGGGCCGUCGUGAUAUCUUAUCUCGCCGCCCGUCGCGAGGCGGACGGAGGGGAGUGGAUGAGGUUACCUGGAAAAAAU
rnacentral:rRNA from 1 species